GACUUUGGUAAAAAUGGCGGUGGAAAUGGAACCAGAGUGACCAUCCAUGCACCUGACCAAAGGCUAAUGAGCUCUUACAUUGUUCCUGGAGCUGUGGCUGGGACACUUCUCUUCUUGCUGGUGCUCGGUAUCCUUUUGUGGAGAUGGAGACAGAGCUCCAAAGAACCACUUCAAAGCAGGUCAGAGGCAGAGAUGAAUCAGAUGGAGACGGUGAGUUGGAGAGCUUAUCAUAAG